rnacentral:rRNA from 1 species
UGCCAGCCGCCGCGGUAAUACGGAGGGUGCAAGCGUUGUUCGGAAUUACUGGGCGUAAAGAGCAUGUAGGCGGACUGUUAAGUCUGAUGUGAAAGCCCGGGGCUCAACCCCGGAAGUGCAUUGGAAACUGGCGAACUUGAGUACGGGAGAGGAAAGUGGAAUUCCGAGUGUAGGGGUGAAAUCCGUAGAUAUUCGGAGGAACACCAGUGGCGAAGGCGGCUUUCUGGCCAAAGAUUGACGCUGAUGAGCGAAAGCGUAGGGAGCGAACAGGAUUAGAUA